AAAGCUCUCCUGGUUCUGAAUUGUGUGAUUCUCUCAAUUGGAAACUGCGGUGGUCCCUUGGUGAUGCGCCUGUAUUUCGUUCUUGGCGGCGAGAGAAUAUGGUUUUCCAGUUGGUUGGAAACGGUUGGGUGGCCCUUGAUCCUAGUCCCUCUCAUCAUCACUUACAUGCACCGCCGAACCAAGCAAGACUCCCAUGCCAAACUCUUCUUCAUGAAACCUCCUCUGUUCGUGGCCUCCGCUGUUAUCGGUGUCCUCACCGGAUUCGAUGACUACCUCUAUGCCUAUGGCGUAGCAAAACUGCCCGUUUCAACAUCAGCUCUCAUUGUCGCAAGCCAGCUCGCUUUCACAGCAGCCUUCGCGUUCCUCUUGGUGAAACAAAAGUUCACCUCAUACUCCGUAAAUGCCAUAUUUCUGUUGAGUAUCGGUGCCGGUGUCUUGGCUUUACACACUAGCUCCGACCGCCCUACUAAUGAGUCCAACAAAGAAUAUUACCUCGGGUUUGUCAUGACACUUGCAGCUGCAGCGCUCUAUGGUUUCAUUCUCCCCUUGGUUGAAUUAACCUACAAGAAAACAAAGCAGGCAAUAACCUACUCACUGGUCAUGGAGAUUCAAAUGGUGAUGUGCUUCUUCGCCACCGUCUUUUGCACAGUGGGGAUGUUGGUUAAUAAUGACUUUCAGGUGCAUUUCUCUUUUCUCUCCACUCAAUUACCCUAACAUAUUCAACCAGAUAGAAGAUUGAUAAUUUAUGUUUGCUUCUUCCUCAUUUAAUUUUGUAGGCAAUUUCCAGAGAAGCAAAAGAAUACGAGCUUGGAGAAGCUAAAUAUUAUCUGGUGGUGGUAUGGAAUGGGAUCAUAUGGCAGUGUUUCUUCUUAGUAUCAAUAGGAGUCAUCUUUAGCGCUUCAUCUUUGGUAUGCGGUAUUGUGAUUACUGUCCUACUCCCCGUGACAGAGAUCUUGGCUGUUAUUUUCUUCCGAGAAAAAUUUCAAGCAGAGAAGGGGGUUUCACUGGCUCUCUCUCUGUGGGGCUUUGUUUCCUACUUCUACGGCGAGAUAAAGGAUAGCAAGAAAAAGAAGAAUCCCACUUCCGAGACGGAGCUGCCUCAAACGGUCAAUCCAUGACAAACAAAUAUCUUUCUUAUUCCCCGGAAGGCAAGGGACAGGAUUACAUAUAAGCAUUUACCAGGUAAUUUAAAGAAAUACUUCGUCCGUAUGUUAACAGGCAGUUUAGCUGAUUCACCAAAUCUGUGUAAAGGAAAUGCUUGAAUUUCGUUCCUAAAUACAUGCUUGAAUAUUGAAUUUACUUGAAUUCUACAACCGCUGUGAGCGGAACAUGUUGAAAAUGAGAUCAUUUAAUUGUUCUAUAUAAGAUAAUUUCAAGAAUGAGCAAGUCUUGUUUUUUUAGUUUUCAAUUUUAGUGGUUUAUGAAAUCACAGAAAAAAGAUCAUGGGUGUUUUCAAAUUUAGAGUUUUUAUCUACCAUCAACUCAACAACCUCUGAUCCCAAUAACCACUUGCACUCAUUUGGAGGUAGGUGUCAACUACUCUCGUCAACUGCCACAGUAUCAAAUGAACCACAACAACUAUAUUUUCCAUAUUUUGUAGUGGAUGAUAUUGAUAUGAAGCGAAUAAGACGCGAGCUGCGCUCACAGGCUAGGACUUUAAUUGGUGAAGCCUCCCAACUCAUAUAGUCAACUCGCUCGAAAUUCAGUUGUUAAAGUUUUCUAAUAAAUAAAACAGUUAUUUUAAAAUAUAAAAAUUUAAAUUAUAUCAUAAAAUACUAAGGUAAAGAAAUUAGAAAAUACUAAAAUAUCAAUUCCAUAUAUAUCAAGCUUUCGAUUUUGAUCAUUAAAAGUAUAUAAUAAAAUUUAAGCCUGUGAAUAAUGAUUACUACUCAAAAAGUGUUAUUUGAUAGCCUGUAAUUAAUCCUUUUAAACACUUUUGAGUAGUAGUUUAGGCCUUUUAACUCAAUUGGCAUGUUAAGGAUCCUUUAAAGCAAUUUUGAUCACUUUGUGUAAGUUUUGGUGUUUUUGUUAGUAUUUUGAUCACCAAAACAAGUCAAGACUGAGGAGAGCUAUGAGGAAUCUUGGGUAAAGCUUAGAAGUCAUUUUCCAAGAGUGAAUCCGGAUUGCAAGGAGAAAAAGCAAAGAGAAUCUGCCAUAAAGCAUAUUCUUGAUGACAGUCGUAGCAGCCACUUUUAGAGCACUUUAUGAAGUCCAAAUGAUGCAUGCUAUAUACCAUUUUAAAGCUCAGGAAGUCAACAAUCCAAUGCUUCAAACGGUGUGCAAUUCGGAGUUGAAACGAAGAAGUUGCAGCCAUUACAAGCCAAUCACUCCGAGCUGAAGAAAACAUUUUGCAAAGUGCUGCGAAAUCACCCUUUUGUUGCGAAGUGAUUUCGCAGCAUUUUUGUACAGUAAGGUGUUUCUCCUUCUGACGAUGCACGAACCAUGCCGCGAGAAGGGAGCUGGGAACCUCAAGGUGGAAGCCAACUUCGCAGCCAUGUGAAGAUAGCUCGGUGUUGCGAAAUAAUUUCGCAGCCCUCUUGGGUGUCUGCGAAAUUUCGCAGACACCAUAUUUCUCCUGCGAAAUGGUUCCUGAAGCCUCCCGAAGCUUGCUACCGACAUUGGGAGAUAUUUUCCAUUAGAUUUUUGUUGUCUAAAUCCCAAAAUACUCCUUGUAAACCACCAAUUACAUGAUUCCUUAGUUUUUAAGUUAGUAAAAAGACUAAAUAUCUUUGUAACAAUUAGUUUUAUAUUAUGUUGAUAUAUAUACCUCUCGAGAGCCUGUUCUCAGGGAGGAGUUCCUUUUGUAAACCGUUUGGGUAAGCAAGUAAAGGUCUUUUUCUUUCUACUGCCUUACCUUCUCACUUUGUAUUUUCAGUUUAUUUCUAAGUUAUGAAUUCUCUGAGGAGUUUUCCCCAGAGAAUGAGUAACUAAACCUCUAAUUCCUUGGAGCUAAGGUUGCCGGGGAAGGUUCCAAGUGCAAGAAUGCAAAGCUUUGUGGUUUUAGCUAGUAAUGAAGAGGAAGUGAAAUCCUUUAGUGAUUUCUAUGUUUUUAGUUAACUUAAAACACCUUGGAGUUACCUGGGCCAACACUUGGUAAGGCAAGUGAUUUUCAACCAUGGAAAUGCACUAGUUUACCCCUUGCGAGCCUCUGGGAGGUGACUUCAGGGUAGGAUUUUCUAGAAUAGCCAACACUUGGUAAGCUUUUGGACUCCUAGGAGGCAUCCAUUAGUUAUCUCUUGCGAGCUUUUGACGGGUAAUCCAAGGUUAAAGAUCACCUUGAAUGGUUAAGGCUUAGUGAGAGGCUUAAACCAUUGCAAGUUGCAUCAGUGAGAGAAUUAAAGUGAAAUCUAAUUGAAGGAGUCUCUGUACAUCACCGGUUAGAGAAUUGACUAUGUGUUGAAUCUCUAAUGCGAGGAAAUGAACCAUCUGACCAAAGCCGUGUCUUUUGCAUGAGGAACCACCCCAGUGAACCUAAAUCUCUAAGGAAUGCUUUUCUUCCUAAAUUAUUCCAAACUUCUGUUAAGUUAGUUAGUUUAAGUCUCAACUUUUACCAAUCAAAGUUUGUGUUUUACUUCUUAAGCUAACCAUAAAAUGAAACAAGACCAAUUCACUUGGAAUUGGUAUCAUUGAUUGCUUGUUAGUCAUUCCCAGUGAACGACCCUAGAGCCACUAUACUAUAGUAGCUUUUUCUUUGCUACCCUAGUGUAUGGUGUUAUAGGUAAUAAAUUUUGUUGAUCACUUCCUCAAUCAAGGAGCACCAGCUGAACACCAAUCAGCUGAGACACCAAUUGAGCAUGAAUCAAAUAAGAUUACGAAUAUAUGGAUUCAAUAUAUAAACGAGUGGGAUGGAACAUGACUCAAAUGAAUAAGGCAUAAAAAAGACAAAUAAUAAUGAUGCCAGACUAUAUAUGUGAUAAUGAUGAUAGAUUGUAGAUGGAGAUGGAUUUCAUAUAAAAAUAAGGAUUUUAUAUUUAAAAUUCAUUUUUAAAGAAUAAAAUACAUUAAAAAACAGUUAAACAUAAAUCGAAGACUUUUUUACUUUAAAUUUCUCUCAAAAGGAAAUUUUAUAAAUAAAAUAAAUUUAUACGAGUAUUAAUCGACAAAAUUUCAAAUCAACAAUAAUUCUUGCAUUUGUAUCAAACUUUAAAAGAUGUAAGUGAAAUUAAUCCUAUUUUUGGAUUGUUAUUUAUAUCAAAUCUUCCCCAUCUUAAUUCCAACCCAAACCAAACUUGACAUGGAUUGGGUGGAACAACUUUAACAAAACUUCAAGUUGUCAUCUCUAAUGUUAGUUUGGAAUAGAAAAUAAAAAUGAAACAAUUUCAUUCUCCUCUAUUAAUGUAUCCAGACUAUUUAUUACGAUGAAAAUUAGAAUAAAAAGUUCAUUAGUAUAUAAACCAAAUCUGCCUAUGAAUAAAAAAACAGUAGAUAAAUACUCUAAGGUUACUUUGGAAUAGAGAAUAAGAAUGGAAGAAUUUCAUUCUUCUUUAUUAAUGGAUCCAGAUUGUUGUUUACAAUGAGAAUAAGAGAAUUAGAAUAAAAAUUUCGUUAGUAGGUAAACCAAAUCUGCCAAUGAAAAAAAAAGACCACAGAUAAAUCAAAUCUCACUUUUACAAUAAUUUUGAUUCAUUCUUUUGUACAUGAUAGUGUGAUUCACUUUCAUUCUCUUUCUAUUCCACUUUUCUACUUUUCCACCUACCACUCAUCCUAGUCGUAAUGUGAUUAUUGUGUCUCGUAUCUUUGGUAAAGAGAACCAACCGACUAUAUCUCAACAAAGCGUCCAUCAUUUAUGCCAUGCAGCGUACAUCAUGCGAAAGAGCCAAUGAGCGUUUCACAUAUGGUAUAGCAAAACUGCCCAUUUCAACAUCUGCUCUCAUUAUCGCAAGCCAGCUCGCUUUCACAGCAGCCUUUGCAUUCCUCUUGGUGAAACAAAAGUUUACUUCAUACUUCGUAAAUGCCAUAUUUCUUUUGAGUAUCGGUGCUGGUGUCUUGGCUCUACACAAUAGCUCUGACUACCCCGCCAACGAAUCUAACAAAGAAUAUUAUCUCGGGUUUUUCAUGAUACUAGCAGCUGCAACGCUCUAUGGUUUCAUUUUCCCGUUGGUUGAAUUAACCUACAAGAAAGCAAAGCAGGCAAUAACCUACUCACUGGUCAUGGAGAUUCAAAUGGUGAUGUGCUUCUUCGCCACCGUCUUUUGCACAGUGGGGAUUGUUGAUGCCUCGCGUCCCAGGGAUCCACACAGCUGCCAAGUGGACGCGCGCUUUCAACCAAGAAUGAAUUCUGGCUCAGUCGAUCCUGCAAAAGAUGUCCGGACACAUCCUCCGAUGGUUUUGUUAGUCAUGGCUCAAUGGAUCAGGCUGUUGCCCUUUUUUCUGAGUUAGCUGACUUACCUUCUUCUUUGCAUGAAGGUUCUUUUAUAUAGUGUCAGAAGCUCCGCUCCCCUCUUUAAUGGCGGGAAGACUUUUUGGCUUGUCAUGAUGUCCCUGAGGUGAUGGCAGAAUCAUCAUCACCUUCCAAACGGCUGUUAGAAAUCGUGGGAGGUGACUUGUCAUCACUCCUGUCCUUUCGCUCUACAGGCGGCGAAACGUGGGCUAUGACAGGUUGUCUGGGGUGACUCAGCAUGGCUUACUUUUUAUGGUCAAUGAUCCGGACAAUGUAUUCGGAUAGAAUAGAGCACAGUCCGGGUAUAAUAUUUGAGAGUGUCGUGUGUCUCCUUGAGGGACCUGGAUAGAGCUGGCGUGCCAUGUGGACUCUGAGGGGGUCCCUACAAUGCCCCCCUUUUAACCUGGCGAUUUUGUCCUGGCAGAAUGGGUAGGUUAAAAAAAAUGAUGACUUUGAAAGUUUGGUUGUUUUUUGCGUUUAUUGUGCCAUGUGGCGGUGCGGAGGCGAAAAGAAGGAAGAGCAUUUAUGGCGAGCCGCCAUCCUUGGGAAUUCCUAUGCGGCAUGUCGUUUCAAUAGCAGCGUGGCUGGGAGUUUGGAAUACCGAGGGGUUGUCUCCCUUUAAAUAGUAGACCCAGCCCCCACAACUGCAUUUCUUCCUUCUGCAUUUCUGUUGCUAGUGUUUUCGUUUAGGUUCUUUGUGUAUUCUUGCCUGUGAGUGAAGUUCUAGGGCUUUUGCUAGCGACAUUCGCGUCGUGAGGGUGACUGCAUCGCGGCCUUCGUCCUCAUUUGCCAGUUUGCACCAGGUACGUUCUCUAUUUCUACCUUCUCUCCAUUGGGUUUCUUUUUUAUUUUAUCUUGCUUGUUAGGUAGGUUGCUUGCGAUUGAGGGUCGGUGCUGGUGUUUAGGGAUUUUUCCGGGGGGGGGGGGGGGGGGNNNNNNNNNNNNNNNNNNNNNNNNNNNNNNNNNNNNNNNNNNNNNNNNNNNNNNNNNNNNNNNNNNNNNNNNNNNNNNNNNNNNNNNNNNNNNNNNNNNNUUUGGGGUUUUUCCAAGCCACUUUCGGUUGGGGGGGGGGAGUGCUUGGGGCCUUUCUCCUUUUUUUCCCGUUUUCCCCCGGGACCUUUUUUUUUUUCUCCUUUUUCCCCAGGGGUUUUUUUUUUUUUUUUUUUUUCUUUUUUGGGUGGUUGUUUGGGGUUGGGGGGGGGGGGUGGGUUUUUGGGAUUUUUCCGGGGGGGGGGGGGGGGGGGGGUUUGCUUUCGUUUUGGGCCUGUUGGGGUUCCUGUUGCCCCCUAUAGCCUUUGCGGGUGACUGGUCCUACUUUGGGGUAGAGUCAAGGGUUAGGUUGGGGAUGUUGGCUAUUUUAGGCUUUCUGGGCGUUUUUUGCUAUUAGGGUUAUGGGGCCGGGUCCUUCUAUUUUACUGUUGGCAUUUCGCCAUGCAGGUUCCGUUUCGGCCCCAUACUUUAAAAUGCCUGCGAAAAAGGACGUAGCUUCGUCCAGUGCGGUUGGGCCCAGCGGAAAGAAUGCGUCCGGGGUGGUCUAUGCGGAGAAGCCUGUUGACAAGCUGAACGUGAGGCAGUUUUGUGAACGCUUCUGCAUUCCGAACGGCGUAUCCGUUCAGCUUGUGGACGGAGAGGUCGUAUCCACCGAGAAAUCUGUGGACAACGCUAUCUAUUUCUCUAAGGAGCAAUUCAACGCGGGGCUUCGGUUCUUUCUCCCGUCUCUCUUCAAAGAGUUUCUUCACUUCACCAAGAUCCCUCCGGCCUACAUCCAUCCCAACAUAGUCCGGGUGUUGAUGGGGUGCAGCAUUUUGAACAUGUUGUUCAACUUGGAUCUUUUGCUGCUGGGGGUCCAUUUCAUCUACUCCAUCAAGAAGGGGAAAACUGACCUCUUCAACUUGUUUACCCAUAUCCCGUCCCUCCAAUUGGUGACUAAUCUCCCAGAUUCGAUGAAGGGGAGAGCCAAAGGACAUGUACUAGUCAAGGGUGUUUAGGCUGGACUGUCGGAACAUCCGGAGAGAUUGUUUUCCCUAAAUCGUUCACUGGCGCUCCCGGGGUAGGGUAGAUUUUCGAGUUUGUCCGGCGUGCAUUUCUUGUUCUUUUACUUUCGUGUUAUCAGAUGGCUAACUUUUUUGGUUGUGGGCAACGUAGGUAAGUCCAAGAGGGACCGCCUAGUCGAGUGGGUGGAGAAAGCCUCUUUUGAUCGCUUGAACAAGCUGUUCGAGAUUACUGCUACUAAGAGGCAUUAUCAGACGUUGCUCACUACUCGGAACCUGUUGGCAGUUGUCCGGGAGCCUCACCCGUACGUCACCAACAUUCUCCCUAGGCGAUUGCCAAAACGUGUAGUGUCUUGGGAGCAUUUUGUGUUGAAAGAUUUGCCCUUCUACGAGAGGGCUCGCAAGGCUAACACAAAGGCGCGCCAGGAGCGCCUUAACCAGCAAGAGGAGAAGAGGCAGAAGGGGACAUUGAGGAAAGCACCUGGUGAGAAGGGGCGCGACUCUUCCCCAGCCGCCUUCCCCCGGCCACAAAAGAAAAGAAGAAGACGAAGAAGACUCGUGCGCAGGUGCUCUAGAUAGUGGCCCCAACUCUUGAGGCUUCGUCUUCGUCUUGCAGGUCCGAGCCCAAUCAGCCGGACCACACUAUUCCGGAGUCUAAGGAGGUUGAGGAACCUGAGGCCAUCACCAGUUCGCCACAGCUUGAAACCUUCCAUCCGGGGCCUAGCUUUCCCCAGCCGCAGUCGGAGUUUGUUGGCUUGAGGGUCGUGGAUGAGCCAGAGGAAAUGAGAGAUGCAAACGACCUUAGGGCGGGGCUUUUGCAAAGACAUCGACCUUGGCCCCCCCAGUUAAGAAAGUUUGUCCGGAGCAGGGUGGAGAGGACCCGACGCCAGAAUUUUGGCUUCAGCUGUGACUCGUCCAGACGAGGUGGGUAUUAGCGCAACUUCCACGGCUCAGCCGGAUGCCGCAGGGUCUAGCGCGGCGGCAACGGUUCAGGCCAACGCUUCGGGGCCUAGCUCAACGACUGCUGCUCAAUCGAGUACAACUGCCUUCGGCAAUGCCCCGACUGCUGUGGAGACCCAUGCGUCAGAGGGGGUUCCGGAUGCGUCGAACGACGAGAAGGCUUCGGACGAAAAGAGCAGUCCUGCUGUUGCAGUUCCUCCAAGCUAGGAGGAAAUGAUGGAGAUGCUGAAAGGAGUGCCAUGCUUCACGGAUGUAGAGACGCCUUCCACGAGGAUGUCAGACUUCUUCCCUUUGACCAAACGUGUCUCUGUGAACAUGGGUGGGGACCCUCCUGCUUUUGUCAAGGCGCGGCUCCCUUUUGGCGCUCCUGAGUCCAUCGUAUCUUGCAUUCAACACCUAUAGGAAUGGACGAUUCCAGAGACUGUAGAAGUGGUAAAUACUUCUUUGCUGUUUUUCUCUUCUUUCUUAGCAGUUGCUACUUUUCCAUGUAACAUUGUCUGUUGUUUUGUUGUUGCUUUGCCCAUGUUGUAGCCGGCAUCCACUACAUGAUGUGCACACGCGAGCAGCUUUUCAAGCGGCUGGAAUUGGUGGAGGCCAUGCAUGCCUUUAUCUCCCAACAUCCGGGUGGCAUCGAGGAGCUGCGCGCCAAGUUGGAGAAGGUGGAGGCCGAAUUGGCCGCUGCUCGGAAAGCUGUGGCGGAUGGGACGGAGCAACUAGGUCGGGUUGAAGGGGAUAAGGAGACUAUCCGGGCCGAGGCUGACAUCCUGAAGAAAGAAAAGCAAGCCUUGGAGGGCUAAGUCAAUGCAGCUGGGCAGGAGAACCUCCAGUUGAAGAGAGAGACGGAUGAACUCCUGGAUAGCCUUGCCGCCCAGAAGAAGGAGUCAGAGGAUUUGCGGGAGGGUCUGGCGGCUCAAAAGGAGAAAAUGGAGGCUAGGUUCGCCGCUCAGAAGAAGGAGAUGGAGGAGGAAUACCAGAAGCAGGCAGACGAGAUGUAUUUCUUUGGCUACCGUUGUUGUAUGAAGAAACACGGAAUUAUGCAUGAUAUUCCUUCUUUCCUUUCUGAUGAGGAAGAUACAACACCUGGGGGUCCGUCCAGCUGAAACUUCCUUCUGUACAGACUUUAUAAUUUUUCCUCUUUGUUUUGCUGCACAUGGGGCAGUUAUUUUUGUAAAGACACUUUUUACUUAUUUAUAAAUACAUUACAUUUCUUCUGUUUUUUGCUUACUCCUCAUUUCCUUUCAUUGAUAAUACUGCUUAAGAUUGGAUACAUUUCAUGGACGGAGCAGCGAGGUUCCAUCUAGCUUCUAUAGAUGAUAGACUCCACUUUCACUUGUCUUGGACACAAUGUAAGGGUCUUCCCAAUUUGCUUGGAAUUUUCCUGCUCCCUUUUCAGCAGUGUUCUUGAAAACCUUUAUGAGGACCAACGUUCCACCUUUGAAGCUCUUGGGUCGUGCCUUGCGUUUGUAGUGAGCUGCCGCCCUUUGUAGGUAGUCGGUCAUUCGAAUGGAUGCGUUCUCUCUCACUUCAUCCACCCAGUCCAAAUUUCUUCCUAGUUCCACAUUUGCAUCACCCUGUCGUCCUACCUCAAUCCGGAUAGUGGGUAGGCCUAUUUCUGUAGGGAUGACUACAUCCAUACCGUAUGCGAGGGCGAAGGGAGUGUUUCCUGUUGGUCACCCGGGUGUGCUUCGAUAGGCCCAUAGGACGCCGGGUAACUCCUCUACCCACUUCCAUUUGGCUUGCCCGAGCCUCUUCUUUAAGGUAGUUACCAGGGUUUUGUUUUUGCCUCUGCCUGUCCAUUGCUUUGAGGAUAAUGUGGUGUGGAGUAUAAAUUCCAGAUGUUAAGUUCCGAACAGAAAUUCCAGAAAGUGAUGCUAUCAAACUGCGGGUCGUUAUCAGCUAUAAUGGUUUGAGGGAUUCCAAAGCGACAGAUGAUGUUCUUCCAUACGAACUUGGUGAUGUCUUUGUCCUUGAUGCUAGCGUAUGCUUCAUCUUCUACCCAUUUACUGAAGUAAUCUGUGGUGACGAGUAGAAAUUUCUUCUAGGCAACUGCGGCUGGUAGGGGUCUUACUAUGUCCAUCCCCCAUUGCGCGAAGGGUCAGAGGCUAGAAAUUAGUUUUAAUGUCUCAGAUGGUGCAUGCGGUAUGAGGGCAUGCCUCUGGCAUUUGUCACACUUCUUGACAUAAGCUGCCGCAUCUUUCUCAUCGUGGGCCAAUAAUAUCCUUGCGAGUGGGCCUGAUGAGCUAGAGAUCGACCUCUAGAAUGAUUGUCGCACACACCCUCAUGUAACUCAUCCAAUACAUACAAGGCUUCCGAGUGAUCCAGGCACCUAAGGUAGGGGCCUGUGAAGGAUCGCUUGUAGAGGUGCCCCCCGAUUAGGGUGAAACGGGCGGCUUGUACUCAGAUCUUAUGUGCCUGCCUGGGUUCUUCGGGCAAAGUUCCUAUUCGGAGAUACCUUAUUAUGACUUUCGUCCAUUCUUAGCCGUCUGUUUGGCUCGCCUCAAUAGUAUUGCAAGUGGAGGCUUCUGUGAUGGAGGGGUCAGUUUGCACGUGUAUGGGCAAUAAUAUGGCCUCUUUGAUGGGGAGGGAAACGGCUAUCCCUGCCAGGGUGUCGGCACGUCCAUUAUCAGCUCAUGGAAUUUUUUUCGAUUGUUCAUUCGACAAACCGUUGCAGGGUGUCUCUUACUUUAGUCAGAUAUCGCGCCAUGCGUUCAUCUUUGGCUUCGUAUUCCUCCUGGACGUGUCUUACCACGAGUUGGGAAUCACUGUAGAUUCGAAGCUUGGAGACAGAUAAGGCCAAGGCAAGAUCUAAUCCGAAUAGGAUGGCUUAAUAUUCUAUUUCAUUGUUAGACGCGAGGAAUCCCAGUCGAAUAGCUUGCUCUAGCUGUUCUCCCGUUGGGGAUUGCAGUAGGAGCCCUACUCCGGAUCCUGAUGACCGAGAGGCUUCAUCAACCCGCAAGGUCCACCACUCUUCUUCGCAUGGUUCUUUGCGUUGAGCAGGUUUUUGAGAGUAUUUUAGCAUGAAGUCAGCCAUUACCUGCCCUUUCAUGGACAAUCUCGGUUGGUAUUCAAUUUCGUACUCGCUCAACUCUAUGGCCCAUUGAAGCAUUCUUCCGGUCAGGUCCGGCUUGUGCAGGAUGUUGCGAAGGGGCUGGUCGAUCAGCACGACCACUGGGUGGGCUUGGAAGUAAGGGCGGAGCUUCUAGGCGGCACUUCGAAUGGCCAAAGCUGUUUGCUCCAUCUUUGAGUACCUUGUUUCUACGUCAGUCAAUGCCCUGCUAACAUAAUAAAUAGGUUUUUGCUCCUUAUGCGAGGGGCAGUGGAAUAAAACAGCACUAAUUGCCCACUCUGAUACAGCCAGAUACAUAUACAAUUUUUCUCCAGGGAGGGGGCUGCUUAGAAUGGGUAGUUGUAUGAGGUAGUGCUUGAUUUUCUCGAAAACGCUCUGGCAGCUGUUCGUCUACCCGUUCGCAUCGGCUUUUCGUAUUGCCAAGAAGAAGAGUCGCAAUUCAUCAGUGAAGCGGGCUAUGAAACGCCCUAGUGCGACAAGCUUGCUUGUGAGGCGAUGUAAUUCAUUUUUGCUCCUAGGGGGUGGUGUUUCCAUGACUACCUUAACUUGAUCCCUCUUUGGCUGACCAUGAACCUUAGGAAUUUUCCAGCACUUACGCCGAAAGCGCAUUUGGACGGAUUCAGUUUCAUGUCAUACUUCCUUAAGAUGUGGAAGACUUCUUGUAAGUGAAAGGCAUGUUCACUUCGGGUUUUGCUCUUAACCACGAUAUCAUCGAUGUAUAUCUCCACUGUGCGGCCAACUAGAGGUUUGAAGAUCUUCGUCAUCAAUCUCUAAUAGGUGGCGCCAUCGUUUUUAAGUCCGAAUGGCAUGACUUUAUAACAAUAAAGCUCAUGCAGCGUUAUAAAGGCUGUCUUUUCUUCGUCGACCGGAGCUAUGGGGAUUUGGUGGUACCCGGAGAAGGCAUCCAAGAAGGAGAGCAUUCCCUAUCCGGCGGUGGAGUCUACGAUCUGGUCUAUCCGUGGUAGAGGGAAACUGUCUUUUGGGCAUGCGUUGUUGAGGUUGGUGUAAUCGACGCACACUCGCCAUUUGCCUUCUUUUUUGGGGACCACUACUACAUUUGCUAACCAGUCCGGAUACUCCACUUCUCUAAUAAAUCCGACCUCCAGCAAUUUGUCAAUCUCAUCCUGGAUAAUUUUUUGCCUGUCUGGGUGAAAAUGUCUAACCCUCUGUCGGACAAGUCUUGUUGUUGGCAAGACGUUAAGCCUAUGAGAGGUGAUUGAAGGGUGGUUCCCUUCAUGUCAAAAUGCGGCCAUGCAAAGACGUCAUGGCUUUGUCGGAGGGCGUCGUGGAUGUCUUGUGCUUCUUCGGGUGUCAAGAGGGAACUGAUAUGUGUGAGGUGAGUACUUUCUUCCGAUAUCUUGAUUGUCUGCAAGGGAUUCACUGCCGAGGGAUCUUUGUCCUCCGGAUUCAGUAAUUGUUAUUGGUCAAGUGCGCUGGUGGGUUCAGGGAGGGGCUCGUCGCCCUUGCUGAUCCCACCUUCUAGCACUAUCUGAUAGCACUGGCGGGCAGCCAACUGGCUACCGUAUAGAUUGGUUUGUCCAUCUUUAGUAAGAAAGCUCACCAUCUGAUGGUACGUGGAAGGGAUUGCUUUCAUAUAGUACAACCACGCGCGUCCUAAGAUGACGUUGAAGGGGGACAAAUCUCCUACCACUGAAAAUUGUACGUUAAGGGUGACUUGGACUGGCAGCACAAUGUCUCCAAGGGAGGUGGUUGCUACGCCAUUAAAUCCCAACAAGACCCACCCAGGAUUUUCUAAGUCGGAUAGUUCGAGACCCAUUUGAUUAACUACUGAUGCCUGCAAAAGAUCGAUCGAGCUUCCUGGGUUGAUUAGGAUCUAUCUUACAUCAAAGUCUCCCAUCACCAGAGAUAGGAUGAGGGCGUCACGGUGCGGUUGUAGUAUUCGCGUGGGAUCUACGGGAGGAAAAAUGAUUGUCCCAUCUACUGGCUGGGCACUUCCCUCAGUUGCUCCGGUCUAAAUGGUAUUGACGCGCUCGCGUACCGAUGUCGCCCGCAGCAACUUCUGCCUCUUUCUUUUGGAGUUGUACUCCUCAUCCAGAGGUCCUCCAUGAAUAUAAUUGAUGAUGGCUUUGGGGGAGAUUGGGGUCCUGAGGGACCCGGAAUCGCGAUUUCGGGGGGUAUCUCUACCUCUGGCAUCUGAGCAGAGGUAUUGCUUCAAAUGUCCCACUUUUAUGGGCCUUUCCACCAAAUACUGGAGACUCCUGCACGUCUUCAUAGUGUGACCAUGCUCCUUAUGGUAGGCACACUUCUGGCAAUGAUCUCUUUUGGCUGGGUCCGUUCUGAGGGGUCCGGGCCACCUGAAGCCGGACAGGUCCUGGAUCAUAGGGAGGAGUUUCUCAUAUGAUAUGGAAAGGGGUGUGAGUGGUGGCAGUUCUGGGCGACUGGGCUCUCCCUGCCUUCGUUCGGACGGCCUUGACCGGUCUAGAAGUUUGGAACUUCUUUCCGCACCGGUUCUGUAUGUCUGCCCAGCAACCAAAAUUUGUUGGGUGGCCGCACGCACGUCGUCUUCCAGCAUUGAGUAUUUGCUCGCGCGCCGGAACAGGUCAUCCAUUGUCGUGGGAGGCUUCUUAGCGAGCGACUUGAAGAAUGGAGUGCCUGGGCAUAUGCUUCGUUUGAAGAUCUGAAGGACAACAUCCAUGCUAUAAGCCUCUACUUGUAACACAGCUUGACCGAACCGUUUCACUAAUUCUCUCAAAGACUCAUUCUCCUGCAUUUUUAUGUUUUGCAGAGUGCUGAUGUUCUGUUUAUGCCGAGCGGAACACAAGUAUUGCCCCACAAAAGCUUCCGACAGGUCCCUGAAGUUAUCAACAGAGUUCGGGGGUAGUCGGUGAAACCAUGAGAGAGCCUGACCUUGUAGGCUGGUGGGGAAUACUUUGCAUAGCAACGCGUCGUUUCCUAUAUCGAGAGUCAUGAGUUGUCGAUAAUGCAUGAUAUGGUCGAAGGGAUCGCUGGACCCAUCAUACGUGGAAAAUUUUGGUACGAGAAAUCUCCUUGGGGAGUCGUAAUGAAUAAUAUGUGAGCAAAAAGGCAUGGAAAGCAUGUCAUCCAGCCUCUUGCUGAUGGAGCCAGUGGGUGGCUCAUUUGGAGAGUUUCUUCCAGCUUGUCGUACCGCUUGGUGCGGGAGGAUGUUCUACACAACGAGUGCGAUCAAAGGGUUAGGGUACGCUUCCCAAGUUGUGGCCACUGGUGGCCUUAUCUUCCCAGGCUCCUGUGGGCCUAGCCUUGCGCGCAUCGCGUCCGACAGUUGGGGUCUCUUGUCGCGUUGUCUCUUUGAUGAGAGAUGAGUAGAAUCUAAGCUUUCAUCCUGGGGAGCUUGGUGCAUGGGCGUGGGCCGUUCUUGAGGUUGAUUAUUGCACCUCAGGAAUGACCCCCGCAAUCCCAAGAUAUAUCGAUUCUGGAUCAGGCCUCGAAUUUGCUCCCUGGCCUCUUGAGCGCUGGCCAUGAGAAGGCCCCGUCGAUGAAGCCUGGAUGCGUAACACAGUGUUUUCUUCUCUCAAUCUCGUUGUUUCUUGGAGGAGAGCCUGCAUUUGUCGCUUACUCUCCAACUUUCGUCUUUCCAUGGCUUCACGCCAUUCGAAAUAACCUUCACCUCCUCUAGCCGACGAGUGGCUCCUAGAAGGUGUGGACAUCUUCGCCGUCGACUGAGCAAAGUGUUCCCACAGACGGCGCCAAUGUUGAUGCCUUGCGUCCCAAGGAUCCACGCAGCUGCCAAGUGGACGGCGCUUUCAACCAAGAAUGAAUUCUGGCUCAGUCGAUCCUACAAAAGAUGUCCGGACACACCCUUCGAUGGUUUUGUUAGCCAUGGCUCAAUGGAUCAGGCUGUUGCCCUUUUUUCUGAGUUAGUUGGCCUACCUUCUUCUUUGCGUGAAGGUUCUUUUAUAUAGUGUCAGAAGCUCUGCUCCCCUCUUUAAUGGCGGGAAGACUUUUUGGCUUGUCAUGAUGUCUCUGAGGUGAUGGCAGAAUCAUCAUCACCUCCCAGGAGGCUGUCAAAAAUCGUGGGAGGUGACUUGCCAUCACUCCUGUCCUUUCGCUCUGCAGACGAUGAAACAUGGGCUGUGAUUUUAGUUAUCUCCGUCGGUGAAGCUUGAGGAGGAAAAAACAAAACACAAGGUCAUUUCGAUACUCUACGUACUCUUUAGGCUUUACCUGGACAUUAAGAAGAUAAUCAAAGAUUCCAAAGCAGAAUAUGACGAGAGGGAGGUUUGUGGUUUGGUACGUAUUGUAGCUUCAGAUUUGGUCUGUCCCAUAGAGUAAAAGUGAUGGUCCCCAGUUUAAAGCAACGAGGUAAUUUUAUCAUUGAAUUUGCUAGAUUUAGAAGGAUUCAUCGUUUCAAUAUGAUGCCACUUAUUAAUUGUUUCCCGGUAUUCCAGACAUGCUCUUGCUUACAACUCCAAGACAAACGCAUCUCUUUAGAGGCACUGUCCUUGAGAAAUGGUGAUGUUCCUCCAAGCUGUGAGAAAAUCCAAGGGGUUUUUCCCGAGGAUUCUCAAUGUGUGGCCCCGUUGGGUUGAACUGUCCGGGUUAGAAGGUGGAGUGGACUGGGUUGGCUCAACCAUCUCGGAAUAUGGAUUCUGCGUCAAGGGUUCGGCUGCAUCAUGUUGGAGAUGGACUGAUUGGCCCAUGUUUUUGUAAGGGAGUCGAAUCUCAGAGACUGGGCCUAGAUUGAGAAAUUGCAACCAUGCAAUAAAGCCCGUGUGACGUGCUCUUGGAGAUCAAAACAUGAUCCGUAUAACAAACAACCUACUGCCGACCUACACCACAGAUCGUGGUGCUGGCCACCCGUACGGUCUAGAGACCACAUGUACAAGCUCAUGACGCUAUUCCUUCCUAUCACCAAUUUGGAAAUGGCCCACCUAAGAAACAUGUAGCCAUGAUCAAACGGGAAUCCCAUGAUGAGAAAUUGUAGAGAAGAGUUAAAAAUAAAAAAUAAAAAGAAGAAAAAAGAAAGGUCAAUACCACUCGAUCAGGUUCCAGAAAAGGGCAUGUGGAAUAAGAAAUUAAUGCACUGAACGCGAACCAUGGCAGUCCCUCUAUGACAACACCAGUUAAUAGUCGUGUUGUGUCCCCACCUUCUGGAAAUGCCAUCCCUCCCACCAAAUCUCGGUAAUCAAAAUAAAAUGGGUUAUUAUCUUCAACUGCUUGCGUGCCCAAAUCAAUCACGUUUCCGAUAAGCAGUAUAGUUAGUUCUCUCAUUAACAUUUCUUCAGGAUCAAGGAUAUUAUUGAUUUUCAUUGACUUGCUCCUAUUUUGCAUUGGUUGAUGGAGAUAAACACACACAUAUUAAUCCUGAUCUUAAAAAUUGGUAUUAAAUCUGUUCAAGGAACCUAGUCAAGGAAAGCAUAAUCUUGAUUGAAACCUUGCACGCACAGCAUUGUCCACUUGUGGUUUAGCCUGGAUGCUUCUGAAAGCAUCAUGAAUGGAUUCCGAGACUUGUGGUUUAUGCCUGCAUGUUUCUGAAAGCAUCGUGGAUAGGUUCCAAGACCUCAUCAUUACUAGUUUCCCACCCCAAAAUUCCAAGAAGCCACCAAAAUACUCCUUUGAAUGGCUGCACAGGAUUUACACACUAGAAGAAGCCAAAAAAAUGAGACCCUUGGCUGAAGCAUAAUUGGACCCUUGUAAGUCUUUUACUAGAAGAAGCCAAAAAAAUGGGACCCUUUGGCUGAAGCAUAAUUGGACCUUUGUAAGUCUCUUAAUAGAAGAAGCCAAAACAAUGGGACCCCUUGGCUGAAGCAUAAUUGGGACUCUUCAGGCACAUACGGCAUGUGCAAAUAUCUAGAUAUUUUAAUCCCAAGUAAAAUGAUGCUCCUUUUUUCGUAUUCUUUUGUUUGACGUAUGCAUCAGGAUCGGACCGCAUCUAUGUUAUUUUUUAUUCCAAAUUUCAAAUAAAGACGAGACUUCGCUACAAAAUUGUCAACGCCUUUGGGACCCAUAAACCUUUUCUCAAACAAUGAUUAAAGGCAAAUUUUUGUAUUGAUAUAAUGCAACUAGCCAACCAUAUGGGUGUAAGGAUGAGCAUGCAAUCCCAUCAAAAUGGCUUCUGGACCCACACUAUCUUAGUUCGUGGCAGUCAAAUCGCAAUAUAAUAGACGGGGAGUGUUAGAUUUUCUUAAUGAGGUCCAGAAGUCUUGUCCAUAAUCUUUAGGAAUAAUACUAGACUUUGUCAAAUGGGUCUAAAAAUCUAACCCAUAAUAUUUUGACAUUUCCGUCUAUGUAAUCAUGGUUAGGUCCCUAAUUCUUUAACCUCUAUUCACACACAUGUAUCAUCGUUUAAGAUUGAUUAAAAGUUUAAAAACAUCACAACUUAUUUCAAUAUCAAAUUUGAUUUUCGAAUUCCUGAACUAUCAACUAUAGAAAAUAUGUUUUGAUUCUUCAUUUAUUUUUAUAUUUAAUAUAUGUCAUUAAGGUUUUAAGCAUAUUUAGAUUGAUUUUAACACUUAUAAUUGGUAUUAAAACCAUUUUAUUGUCUCUACCUUAAUUAUGUGCAACCUAAAAAAAUUGAUUAUGUGCCUUAAUUAUUUUCUUUUAAUCCUUAUGGUAAAAAAAAUUUCUUACGAAUUUGGAAGAAAACUGUUUGUAUUAUGCUUUUGAAAGAUGAAGAAGUCAAGUUUUGGGCAUGAAAAAUGAGGGCUAUUAAUAUCCAAUCGAUCCCUACCUCCCCUUACAACUUUUACAGUGCAAUGGCCUAGCUAUACCCCUAUUGAUGGGAGCAAGUUGUAGAGUUAUGAUUGUAUGUUGUCCAUAUUAUAGAGAUUUUGAUAUAGUGGUUUAUAGUUUUGAAUCAUUCUUUACAACUUGUAACAAUUGUAUCAUUAUUCCUUUUAAGAGAAAAGGGGUAUAUAGUGGUUAAUAUGUCCUUGUCAACACCCUUUAAAAUCAAAUCCCACAUUUUCUUCAUAAAGUAAUAUAGAUUAGGUACGAACUUCCAGUUUUUAAAUCUGGAAAGCUAUCAAAAAUUAGACAUUUAUACCAAUAAAAAAUAUGAAAAUUUUCCAGAAAUUUAAAAUUUUGGAUAUUUUGUGAAAAUUUCAUAAAUUUGGUAUUUUUGUGAAAAAAAAAAAUCAUAUUUUUGGUGUUUUUAUGAAAAAUACAUAAAUUUGGCAUUUUAUGAAAACCAUUUUGUGGAAUUAAAAUUUGGAUAUUUAUGUGCUUAAAAUCAUGUCUUUUUUGUAUGUAUAAUUUAUUGUUUUCAUUAUAUAUGUAAUUUGAAUUUUUACUAUAUAAAUUUAAACAGUGUUCAUAUAUGUAAAUAUUGCUUAUGGUUGCAUGCAAUUUAUAUAAACAGUUUUGUGAAUAAAAUUAAAUAUCUAUUGAUCUAUAUAAUUUUAAUUAAUUAGGGAUUAGCCACAACAUCUUUAAUUAUGUAAAAUUAUAUAUUAAGUACUUUAGGAUCACAUAUAUAAAAAUGACAUUGAUUGUAAUUAAUCAUAUUUAAAUAUAAUAAAUUUUAUCCUUUAUCAUAUUUGUAUUAUUAAUAAUGAUAGAAUAUCAAAUUAUAUUCUUAAUUUACCUAUAGGAAUUAGGAAAGGAACAUAAUUGAUAGUUUUAUCAUAAAGUUAGAUGAAUCUAAUUGAAUUAGAACUUUAGUACACAUACAAGUUUUAUGUCACUACUUCAUAUUUUUGAAACAUGAUUUAUAUUGGUAAAACAUGAUAUAUAUUUAUUAACCUCAAAUUACUAUUAUAUAAGCAUGUAUGUUUAAUAUUUAUGCAGUUAUGCAAUCUGUGAAUUUUUCCGAUAUAAGAUGUGAUAUUCUUGAACUAAAGGGUGACAACUACAAAGUAUGAAAGGAAAGAAUUCUCUUUCAUUUGAGGUAGAUGGACAUUGAUUAUGUUAUUAGGAAAGACGAACCAAGCAUUACCACAACUAGCACUGUAGAUGAAAAGGCUCUUUAUAAAUGAUGGGUGUGAUCCAAUUGCCUUAGUGUGAUGUUCAUAAAAAACAAAAUCUCUACUGGUAUUCAAUGUUCAGUUGAUCAACAUGAUAAAGUUAAGGCAUUAUUAAAGGCUACUGAUGAACAAUUUCAAACUUCAGAUGAGACACUUGCCAGUACCUUGAUUAUGAAGUUUUCAUCCUUAAGGCUCACCAGUGUAAGAAGUGUAUGUGAACACAUCAUGCAAAUGAGGGACAUUGUAACUCAACUAAAAACUCUUGAGGUUGAAAUGUUUGAAUCUUUCCUUGUGCACUACAUACUGAACACUUUUCCACAACAACUUCUGACCAUGUGUGUUCAAGAGGUAUGGAGGUUGGUAAUGGAAAUUGGUGAGAAUGCAUUAUUCGCAAAACAAGGAAAUAACCAAAACCAAGCCAAAAAAAAAAAAAAAAAAGGAAAGGUAAAAUACUGCCCCAAUGAGAAAUAAAAAAAGAAUCCAAGUGCUUCAUCUGCAAAAAGAAAGGACACAUGAAGAAAAAUUGCUCCAAAUUUCAUAAAUGACUUGAGAAAAAAGGUAAACCAAUCUCAUUUGUUUGUUAUGAAUCUAAUAUGGUUGAUGUUAAGCAUGACACAUUGUGGAUUGAUUCUAGUUCUACAAUCCAUAUUUCAAAUACCUUGUAGGGUACACAAAACCUAAGGAAGCUAGUGGGAAGUGAGUAGUGCAUCUAUUCAAGAAACAAGAUGCAUUCAUAUGUAAAAGCUCUUGGAACAUGCACUUUAGUUUUAAGUAGUGGUUUUGUUCUAAAUUUGGAAAAGACAUUUUACAUUCCAAGUUUUUCUAAGAAUUUGAUUUCAGUUUCAAGACUUGUUCCUUUUGGUUAGUCCUUUUAACUUUUCAAAAACAUCAUUUAGUUUAUUUUAUAAAUCUAAUCUUGUUGGGAAUGGUACAUUGUCUAAUAGUCUUUUCUUUAUUAAUUUGCAAAAUGAUACUACUCAUAAUGUUAUGCAUCUUCACACUGGUGUUAAACGAUGUGUUAUGAAUGAAGAUUCCUUUAUGUUAUAGCACCGAAGAUCAAAACAUAUCUCAAUAGAAAGAAUUAAGAGAUUAGUAAAUUAUGGAGUAUUUAGUACUUUGGAUUUUACUGAUUUUGAUAUUUGUAUGAACUUCAAUAAGAGAAAAUAGAUCAACAAGUAAAAAAAAAUGUGCUAAAAGGAGCAUAGACAUAUUGAAGAUCAUACAUUCAGACAUUUGUAGUCUAGACAUGGACUCAUAUGGUCUAAAAUACUUCAUCUCUUUCAUAAACGAUUACUCAUGAUACAUGUAUCUCUACUUGCUUCAUAACAAGAAUGAAACAUUAAAUGUUGUCAAGUUUUUAAGGCCAAAUUAGAAAAUCAAUAUGGAAACAAAUUAAGAUAAUGAGAACAAAUAGAGAUGGAGAAUAUUAUGGUAAAUACACUAACGAUGGACAAACACCCGGUCCAUUUGUGAAGUUUCUUCAAGAGCAUGGGAUAGUUGCCCAAUAUACCAUGUAUGGUUCUCCAUACUAGAAUGGCAUAGCAGAAAAAAUAAACUGAAUGUUAUUGGACAUGAUACAGAGUAUGCUUAGUAGCUCCAAGCUUAUUAAAUCCUUGUAGACUGAAGCUUUUAAAAUGACAAUGUAUAUAUUGAACCGAGUCCCAACUAAUGUUGCCCUAAAAACGUCAUUUGAAUUAUGGAAAGAUUGGAAACCGAGUUUGCAACAUAUACGCAUUUGGGGAUGCCCAUUUGAAGUAAGAGUUUACCACCCACAAGAGAAUAAACUAGACCUAAGGACCAUUAGUGGAUUUUUCGUUGGAUAUGCAAAAAGGUCUAAAUGGUACAUAUUCUACUAUCCCACAACACUAGGAUUGUGUAAUCAAGAAAUGCAAAAUUCCUUGAGAAUGACUUGUUCAAUGAGAAUAUCAAACCUAAAGCAUAGUCUCUGAGAAAGAUCAAUCUUCCAUUUCAAGUGAAAGGUUGGUUAUUAUUCACAACACCUCUCAAGUUCAAAUGGGAGUUGAGCAACCAAUCGUUGAAGUUCCACAAGCUAUUGAGAAUAAUCCAAUAGAUUAAGUUGUUCAGGAAAUGCCAAAAAUUGUUGAACAACCAAUUGAACAACAUAAUCCUCAGGAAAAUUUUGAUUCAACAUUAAAGAGAUCUACUAGAGCAAGGAAAUUAGCAAUUCCUAGUGAUUAUGUUAUGUAUCUAAAAUAAUUGGAUUAUAACAUUUGAGCCGAAAAUGAUCUUGAAACAUUUUCACAAGCCAUUAGUUGCGAAAGAUCAAAUUUAUGGUACAAUGCCAUGAAGGAUGAGAUGAAUUCUAUGGCAUCUAACGAAGUCUAGAAUCUUGUUGAGUUGUCUGAUAGUGCAAAAGUCAUAGGAUGUAAAUAGGCUUUUAAGACAAAAAAAGACUCAUUGGACAAUAUUGAAAGAUAUAAAGCAAGACUUGUUGCUAAAAAAUUCACUUAAAAGGAAAUAAUCGACUAUAAGGAGUCCUUCUCUCCUAUAUCUAAGAAAGAUUAUUUUCGUAUUAGUAUGACAUUGGUUACACAUUUUGAUUUAGAGGUACAACAAAUGGAUGUGAAAAUGGCUUUCCUUAAUAAAGAUCUAAAGGAAGAAGUUUACAUAAAACAACCAAAAGAAAUUUCCUCUAGAGAUGGUGAGCAUUUGGUGUGCAAGCUCAAGAAAUCCAUAUAUGGAUUGAAACAAGUCUCCCGUUAGUGGUACUUGAAAUUCCAUGAUGUUCGUUAUCUCUUCGUGUGGGUCUGUAGAGAAUAGUAUAAAUCAAUGUAUAUACCAGAAAGUUAGUAAGAGUAAAAUAUGUUUACUUAUUCUAUAUGUGGAUGACAUUUUACUUGCAACUAAUGAUAAGGGUUUGCUACAUGAGGUAAAACAAUUUCUAUUUAAAAACUGACAUGAAAUAUUUGGGUGAUGCUUCUUAUGUCAUUGGCAUUAAGAUACAUAGAGAUAGAUUUUGAGAAAUUUUGGGUUUGUCUCAAAAAACCUAUAUCAACAAAGUUUUAGAGAGAUUUUGGAUAAAAUAUUGUUCACCAAGUAUAGCUCCUAUUGUGAAUGGUGACAGGUUCAAUUUGCACUAGUGCCCAAAAAAUGAUAUUGAAAUGAAACAAAUGAAGAACAUUUCAUAUGUUUCUGUUGUUGGAAACUUAAUGUAUGCUCAAGUCUACAUAAGACUUGACAUUACAUUUUUUGUUAGGAUGUUAAGAAAAUAUCAAAGUAAUUCAGGUACAAACCACUGAAGAGUUGCAAAAAAUGUGUUAAGGUGUUUUCAAGGGACGAAGGACUACGUACUUAUGUAUAAACGGACUAAUAAUCUGGAGGUGAUUAGCUACUCAAAUUCAAACUUUGUUGGUUGUGUUGAUUCACAAAAAUCAACUUCUAGAUUCAUUUUUAUGUUCGUUGGUGGAAUUGUAUCCUGGAGGAGUGCAAAGCAAACUUUGUCUACUACUUCCACUAUAGAGGCUGAGUUUAUAUCUUGUUUUGAGGUUACCUCGCAUGGUGUAUGGAGGAAAAGUUUCAUUUUUUAACUUAGAAUUAUAGAUUCAAUUUCUAAGCUAUUUAGGAUAUAUUGCAACAAUUUAUGUGUAGUUUUUAUGGCUAAAAACAAUAAAAGUGGUAGUCGAAGCAAACACAUCAACAUCAAGUAUUUAGUCAUAAGGGAACAUGUUAAGAAGAAAAUAAUGGUUAUUGAAUACAUCAGCACUGAGUUGAUGAUAGUUGAUCCUUUGACAAAAGGCAUGCCACCAUUGAAAUUCAAGAAUCAUGUGAAUAGAAUGGGACUUCAUUCCUUUAUAUGAUUUUCGUUGUAAUAAUGAAUGUUAUUUGUGAUGAAACUUUAUUAAUGUGAUAAUAUUUUCUCUUAUUUGUUUCUAAUUUGUAUACACAUUCAUUCAUUUGAGAAAUAUUACUAAUGUUUGGACCUGAAAUAAACCUUAGGCUUAUUCAUUAAGUAAUGAAGGCAAGUGUUUAAGAGACAUGAUGCAUUGUGAUACAUGGAAGAUAAUACUUGUUUCAGAGAAUCUAUUGUCAUGAUUUGUGUAUUUUGUUUCUUACUAUGGUGAAUGAUGGAAUAUAUAGACCAAGUGGGAUAAUAUUAGAUUUUCCUAAACAGAUCUAGAAAUCUGGCCUAUAAUCUUCCAUUAAUUUUGGGAAUAAUGCUAGACUUAAAUAGGUCUAGAAAUGCUGUCUCUAUUAUUCUAGAAUUUCUAUUGAUUUAGUUUUACAUUUUUAUUGUCAUUAACAACCAUAAAUAAAUUAUGGUAUUGACUCUGUGAUGGGCAGGGUAAAUAUAAAUAGAGCCUUCGUGGUUAGGUCUCUAAGCUUUUGACUUCGAUUUUUAUUCAAAUACAUAUACACUAUUGUUUAAAAUUGAUUAAGAGUUUAGAAGCACCUCAACCCAUUUGAAGAUCAAAUUUGAUUUCUAAAUUCUCAAAUUGAGGUAUGUUCCUCUUCUCCUUUAUUUCCGCAUUUGAUAUAGGCUACACUGGAAGGACCCAGUGUUGUCUCUAUAAUUGACUCUUAUUUCGUCGUCAUGUUUCCGCCUCAAAAAACCCCGAUUCCUUGUUUACACACUGCUACCAAAGGGGAUAGAUUCCUUGUUUACACACUGCUACCACAGGGGAGAGAGGAGGAGAGCUACCAACCAAACAAUGGAGGUUGAAGCUCAGCUGAGCAGCAACACGAGGAAGGCUCUGCUGGUUCUGAGUUGUGUGAUUCUCUCAAUUGGACACUGCGGUGGUCCCUUGGUGAUGCGCCUAUACUUCGUCCGUGGCGGCGAGAGGAUAUGGUUUUCCAGUUGGUUGGAAACGGCUGGGUGGCCCUUGAUCCUAGUCCCUCUCAUCAUCACUUACAUGCACCGCCGAACUAAGCAAGGCUCCCAUGCCAAGCUCUUCUUCAUGAAACCUCCUCUGUUCGUAGCCUCCGCUGUUAUCGGUGUCCUCACCGCCCUCGAUGACUACCUCUACGCUUAUGGCGUAGCAAAACUGCCCGUUUCAACAAUUGCUCUCAUCAUCGCAAGCCAGCUCGCUUUCACAGCAGCCUUCGCAUUCCUCUUAGUGAAACAAAAGUUCACCUCAUACUCCGUAAAUGCCAUAUUUCUCUUGAGUAUUGGUGCUGGUGUCUUGGCUCUACACACUAGCUCCGACCGCCCUGCUAAUGAGUCCAACAAAGAAUAUUACCUCGGGUUUUUCAUGACACUUGCAGCUGCAGCGCUCUAUGGUUUCAUUCUCCCCCUGGUUGAAUUAACAUACAAGAAAGCAAAGCAGGCAAUAACCUACUCACUGGUCAUGGAGAUUCAAAUGGUGAUGUGCUUCUUCGCCACCUUCUUUUGCACAGUGGGGAUGCUGGUUAAUAAUGACUUUCAGGUGUAUUCCUCUUUUCUAUCCACCCAGUUACCUUUAACACAUUCAACCAGAUAGAACCACCAAAAACAAAGAUUGAUAAUUUAUGUUUGCUUCUUCCUCAUUUAAUUUUGUAGGCAAUUCCCAGAGAGGCAAAAGAAUACGAGCUUGGAGAAGCUAAAUAUUAUCUGGUGGUGGUAUGGAAUGGGAUCAUGUGGCAGUGCUUCUACUUAGGAGCAAUAGGAGUCAUCUUUUGCGCUUCAUCUUUGGUAGCCGGUAUUGUGCUUGCUGUCCUACUCCCCGUGACUGAGAUCUUGGCUGUUAUUUUCUUCCACGACAAAUUUCAAGCAGAGAAGGGGGUUUCACUUGCUCUCUCUCUUUGGGGUUUUGUUUCAUACUUCUACGGCGAGAUAAAGGAUAGCAAGAAAAAGAAGAAUCCCACUCCGGAGACGGAGCUGCCUCAAACAGUCAAUCCAUGAUAAACAAAUGUCUUUCUUUUCCCCACAGAAGAGGGGGGACAGGAUUCGCAUAUAAGCAUUUACUAGGGAAUUUAAAGAAACACUUCAUCUGUAUGUUACAGGCAGUUCAUAACCAAGACUAAAGUGGGUUUCUUUCCAGUUUUGAGAUGAAGGAAUUCCAAUAAAAUAUGGACUGUAAGGUCAAGGCGUGCUAAAUGUGAAGUCGAUACAGAGUGGGAAAAUAUGACAUAUUUUGAGACUUAAUAGUCAUAUCCAAUUUCUAUUAUCUAUAAUAUUAUAUAGUAUUAUAAAAUAAUCUCUCUCAUCCUUGGAUAUGGUUAAACUAUGUUAAAAUUUGAGUAUUCUGUUUAUGGUUGGUUUUAUCUCUGUAUGUUCUUAUUACAGCUUCCACUUAACACAUCAACUUAGUAUUAAAACCUUGGUUGAAUAUUUUUUAGAAGAACCAAAGAUAAUAGAAGAUUGUGGUCCAUGAAAAAAACCCUAACACACACUAUCAAUGUACAAUAGUGUAUACCAUAAAUAAAUAAAAAAGAAGAAAUAUUCACUUAAACGAAAUUUUUAACAGUAGAAAUGGUUGAAAAAUGCUUCCAAUUCCUAAAGAAUAUUUUAAAUAUUGAUUGGGAACUUGCAACAUUUCCCAAUAUUAGAAUCAAUAAGGAAACGGUCUUACUGAGAAAGAAUUGAAGUCAUCGUCAUCCAGGCAAGAUGAUGGGCCAUUAAGGUUAGGUUGGGAUCAAGAGAAGCUGGAUAUGGAUUGUUUUGUUAAUCCAGUAUAACUUAAAAGCUUAAUUAAGUUAUGUAAUAGUGGACCAACAGUGCACUUUGCACUGAUUUGGGUUACAUGUUAGGGUCGUAGCCCAAGUAGGUUGAUAUAUGAUGGUGGACCAACAACUGCAUGCGAAUGAAUGGCUAUGUGAAUUUCCUAAGACUCGGUUCAUUUCAACUUCUACUGAUUGCAUCGAAACUUUCGGGAAGAAUUGGCGUAUGGAUCUUCCCUAAAUGGGUGUUGACGCCGCCAAAAUAGGCACCUCCAAAUACAUGGCCUUAAGCCACCUACAGCAUAGCCGCCCAAGACGCAAGCAUCUGUAGCUAUCCAAAACGAGCUCGGCUAAAAAUAAGUGCCUGCAUAUGAGAUAUGACUCACAUCCAGGACUGGCAGGUUGACCGAACUGACCCUCAAAAGAAGGCCUCACCAACUCUUAAACAUUAUCGGAACAGGCUGGCAGGCUUUAACACAUGCCCUAACCAUAUAAACGUAAAAAAAAAAAAAAAGAAAAAAAAAAAGAAGAAGAUCAUAAUAAGACAAAAAGGGGAGAAAGAAAUUCUCUCGUCUACAGGUGUCGAAGCUUCAUUCAACACAGAGUUGUAAGAUUACCAAUGUUGGGUGCAGACCUAUCCUUUCUAGUUAUCUCCGCCGGUGAAGCUUGAGGAGGAAAAACAAACCACAAGGUCAUUUCGAUACUCUACUCUUUAGGCUUUACCUGGACACUAAGAAGAUAAUCAAAGAUUACAAAGCAGAAUAUGAGGAGGGAGGUUUGUGGUUUGGUACGUAUUGUAGCUUCAGAUUUGGUCUGUCCCAUAGAGUAAAAGUGAUGGUCCCCAGUUCAAAGCAACGAGGUAAGAGUUUUAUCACUGAAUUUGCUGGAUUUAGAAGGAUUCAUCGUUUCAAUAUGACGCCACUUAUUUAUUGUUUCGGGGUAUUCCAGGCAUGCUCUUGCUUACAAUUCCAAGACAAACGCAUCUCUUUAGAGGCACUGUCCUUGAGAAAUGGUAAAGUUCCUCCAAGCUGUGAGAAAAUCCAAGGGGUUUUUCCCGAGGAUUCUCCAUGUAUGGCCCCGUUGGGUUGAACCGUACGGGUUAGAAGGUGGAGUGGACUGAGUUGGCUCAACCAUCUUGGAAUAUGGAUUCAGCGUCAAGGAUUCGGCUGCACCAUGUUGGAGAUGGACUGACUGGCCCAUGUGUUCUGUAAGGGAGUCCAAUGGGCACCCAUGCAAUAAAAGCCCGUGUGACGUGCUCUUGGAGAUCAAAACAUGAUCCGUACAAUACAACUUACUGCCGACCUACGCCACAGGUCGUGGCGCUGGCACCCGUAGGGUCUAGAGACCACAUAUUCAAACUGAUAAUUACAGUAUUCAUUCCUGUCACCAAUUUCGAAAUGGCCCACCCAAGAAACAUGUGGAGCUUUCACCCAAAAUAUUGCGUUUUAAAAAAAAAUUUCAAAAAAUAAAGUUGUUUUAAAAAUAAUGUACGAUGUAAUAAAUAUAUACCACAUAAGCUGUCAUGGCAUAAAACUGUAGUUGAUGACUACGGUUUUAUUUUUUUAAAAUGGUUAGAAACCGUAGUUACCAACCACGGUUUUAACUUUAAGUUUAAAGCCGUAGUUGGUGACUACGGCUUUGACAUUUUUUUAAAAUGGUCAAAGUCAUAGUUACCAACUACGAUUUUAACUUUAUAUAUAUUUAUAUAUAACUUUAAUUUUUUUAAUAAAAAUAUUAUAUUAUUUUGAUUUUAAAUAUACUUAUUUCAUUAUUUUAAAAAUAAUAAUAUAUGAAAUUAAAUAAAUGAUAUUUUUAAUUUGAUAUAAAUAUAUUUUUAAAUUUUAUUAAAAUAAUAUAUUCUAUAUUUAAUAUAAAUAUAUUUAUUUAAUUAUAUUUAAAUAUAAAUAAAAUAUAAUAAAUUAUGAAAGCCUAUUAAAAAACAAAUAAUAUAAAUUAUUAUAUUAAUUAAUAAUUUUUUAUAUACUAUAUGUAAGUGGUAUAUAAUGUCACAUGUAUAUAAGUUCAAUUAAGUUUAAAAUUUAUCAUAUUUUAAUUUAAGUUCAUAAUAUUAUAUCGAUAUGAUAAUAAUUUAUUUAUAUAUUUAAAUAAAUAUGCUAAAUUUUAAACUUAAAUUAAAAUUAUAUAUAUAUAUAUAUAUGUGUGUGUGAUAUUAUAUACUAUUUACAUAUAAUAUAUAAAAAAAUUAUUAAUUAAUAUAAUAAUUCAUAUUAUUUUUUUCUCCAAAUAGGCAUUUAUAAUUUAUUUAUUUUAAAUAAACAUAAUUUAUUAUAUUUCAUUUAUAUUUAAUUUUAAUUAAAUAAUUAUAUUUAUAUUAAAUAUAGUGUCAAUUGUUUUAAUAAAAUUUAUUUAUAUAUUUAAAAAUAAUGUGAUAAAUUUUAAACUUAAAUUAAACUUUUAUAUAUAUAUAUAUAUAUAUAUAUAUAUAUAUGUGUGUGAGAGAGAGAGGUAUUAUAUACCACUUAUAUAUAAUAUAUAAAAAAAUUAUUAAUUAAUAUAAUAAUUUAUAUUACUUUUUUAUUUUUCUAAAUAGGUAUUUAUAAUUUAUUUAUUUUAAAUAAAUAUAAUUUAUUAUAUUUUAUUUUAAUUAAUUAAUUAUAUUUAUAUUAAAUAUAGUGCCUAUUGUUUUAAUAAAAUUUAAAAUAUAUUUUUAUAUCAAAUUAAAAAUAUCAAUUAUUUAAUUUCGUAUAUUAUUAUUUUUAAAAUAAUAAAAUAAGUAUAUUUAAAAUCAAAGUAAUAUAAUAUUUUUAUUAAAAAAAUUAAAAUUAUAUAUAAAUAUAUAUAAAGUUAAAACCGCAGUUGGUGACUACGGUUUUGACCAUUUUUAAAAAAAAAAAUCAAAGUCGUAGUCACUAACUACGACUUUAAACUUAAAGUUAAAACCGUGGUUGGUAACUACGGUUUCUAACCACUUAAAAAAAUAAAACCGUAGUCACCAACUACAGUUUUAUGACAUGGCAGUUUAUGUAGCACAGACGCAUUAGAUCGGUCAUUAUUUUCAAAGCAAUUUUAUUUUUUGGAAUUUUUUUUUAAAACACACUAUUUUGGGUCAAAGCUCAAUGGCCAUCAAACGGGGAAUCACGUGAUGAGAAAUUGAAGAGAAGAAUUAAAAACAAAAAAUAAAUAAAAAGAAGAAAAGGAAAGGUCAAUACCCCUCAAUCAGUUUCAAGAAAAGGGCAUGUGUUAUGAGCAAUGCACUGAAACGCGAACCAUUUCAGCCCUCCAAAGGACAACACAAGUUAAUAGCCCGUGUGGUCCCAACCUUCUGGAAAUACGAUUCCUCCCACCAAAUCUUGGUAAUCAAAAUAAAAUGGGUUAUCAUCUUCAACUGCUUUGCAUGCCUAAUGAACAUUGUUUUCGAUUACCAGUAUAGUUAGUUCUCUCAUUAACAUUUCUUCAGGAUCAAGGAUAUUGUUUUCAUUGACUUGCUCCUAUUUUGCAUUUGUUGAUGGAGAUACACAACGCACACACAUUAAUCCUAAUCUUAAAAAAUGGUAUUAAAUCUGUUCAAGGAAGCUAAGCAGGAAGAGCAUAAAACCUUGCAUUCACAGCAUUGUCGAUUUGUGAUUUAGCCCGGAUGCUUCUGAAAGCAUUAUGGAUAGGUUCGAAGCCCUCAGAAAUUAGACUAAUGCCAUGUUUACGUCAUCAUUACUAGCUUUCACACCAAAAUUCCAAAAAGAUAAACGCUAUGGUAUUAGUUUAAUGUUUAUCUCAUUGCCACCACACUAGUCAUCUAGAAGGUUUUACUGCUUUGAAUGGCUGCACAGGGUUUACACAAUAGAAGUAAAAAAAUGGGGCCUCUUCGCUGAAGCAUAAUUGGACUCUUGUGAGUCUAACCAUUAAUCUGGAACUGGAAAGCUGCCCUCUUUUAUUUAACUCCUAUAAUGAAGAUAAUGAUCCGAGACAUCAAUGUUUUCAACGAAAACUGGAUCGCUACACUUGGAUGUCCAGCAAAUUUUCAAUUUAAAUAAUGUACAAGACAAUCAAGGAGGUGAAAAAAAUUGAUGAAGCGAAUCAACAGUUUCUGAUACCAAUUUCAGGCACAUACGGCAUGUGCAAAUAUCUAGAUAUUUUAAUCCCAAAUAAAAUAAUGGUUCCUUUUUUCGUUUUCUUUUGUUUGACGUAUGCAUCAGGAACGGAACAUAUCUUAUAUUAUUUUGAUUCCAAAUUUCAAAUGAAGACGAGAUUCCAUAACUGAAUUGUCAACACGACCUUUGGGACUGAUGAACCUUAUUCAAACAAUGAUGAAAGGCAAAUUUUUGUAUUGAUAUAAUACAACUAGCCAACUGUAUGGGUGUAAGGAUCAAGGAAGACUAGGAAAUUUCGAAGGAUGAGACUACAACCCCAUCAGAAUGCCUUCUGGACCCACACUAUUUUAGUUCGUGGCAGUCAAAUCGCAAUAUAAUAGACGUAGGGAAGGACCCAAUGUUAUCACUAUAAUUGACUCUUAUUUCGUCGUCAUGCACCGCCUCAAAAAACCCGAAUUCCUCUUGGCACUGCGACUUCAAGGGAGAAGGAGAAGGAGUAGGAGAGGGGAGAGGGGAGAGGGGAGAGGGAGGGAGAGCUACCAACCGAACAGUGGAGAUGGAAGCUCAGCUGAGCAGCAACAUGAGGAAGGCUCUGCUGGUUCUGAAUUGUGUCAUUCUCUCAAUUGGAAACUGCGGUGGUCCCAUGGUGAUGCGCCUGUAUUUCGUCCGUGGCGGCGAGAGAAUAUGGUUUUCCAGUUGGUUGGAAACGGCUGGGUGGCCCUUGAUCCUAGUCCCUCUCAUCAUCACUUACAUCCACCGCCGAACCAAGCAAGGCUCCCAUGCCAAGCUCUUCUUCAUGAAACCUCCUCUGUUCGUGGCCUCCGCUGUUAUCGGUGUCCUCACCGGCUUCGAUGACUACCUCUACGCCUAUGGCGUAGCAAAACUGCCCGUUUCAACAUCUGCUCUCAUUAUCGCAAGCCAGCUCGCUUUCACAGCAGCCUUCGCGUUCCUCUUGGUGAAACAAAAGUUCACCUCAUACUCCGUAAAUGCCAUAUUUCUGUUGAGUAUCGGUGCCGGUGUCUUGGCUUUACACACUAGCUCCGACCGCCCUGCUAAUGAGUCCAACAAAGAAUAUUAC
rnacentral:lncRNA from 1 species